ACCGAAAUGUAAGCUCUGUCAAGGUUGGCAUUUGUAUAAGUUUUUCUUAGAUGUGUGCCUCCCAACAAUGCCCAAUGCGGUGCUCGAACGUUCUGCUUGAGUGGGUGGCUGCAGCACAGAGGAACUUGUUGUGUUUCCUUCUCAGAGUCCAGAGAAGCACAUGCAGAGGUUGAAUUGCAUCUCUAUACCCCCAGAGGUUCCAGGAGGCAGGAAAUUACCUUCCCAGGUUCUGAGAUUGCAGGCUUUAUGACAAGCUGACACAUCCAGGACAAAUGAGAGAGCGAGCUUGAGAGGUGUGUUCAUUGCAGAAACUUCCUUUAUGAAAUUUGCUUUUUCACUGCAGACUGAGGCUUUCUAGGAGAACUCCAUUAUUUUGUCUGAAUUAAUUUUCACAGCAGACUCCUUAUGUGCCCAGAGAGAGCUAUAUCACUUCUUUCCAAUCCAUACCAGCUUCUUACGAAUGGCGACAACAAGCCCCAGGGUAGGGGCGGGGGGUGGCACACCGAUGGGAUAUCUCAGGUCUAGCUUGGAGGAUGACAGAGGUUUGGUAGGGCUGUUGCAGUCAUGAGGAUGCCCGCCCUGGCAGAGAUGGAGAAAGGCCACAGACAAGAUUGCCUGCCAAGAAUGAGAGAAAUCUUGAAUGCAUUGAUGUUUUCGGGGAUGGCUUUUCUUUCAGACAAAUCUUAAAAACAUAAUGCUACAUUUAUCUUUGAAAGUAUACAUUUAGCCAUCUUUAUUACCAGCGUGCCUCUUUUGAAGGCUUCUGUUGGAUAACAGGAACAAGGACGUUGAUAUUCAUUAUCAACCAUUUUCCUAUCAAUGAAUUUCUUUAUAGCAACUAUGGUUUAUUUGAAAACCAAAGCUUUUCAAGGGAAGUUUGCUAUAUUUUAAACAGAGAAAUACAAUUAUUUAUGUUUCUUAACUGUUAAAUCAUCUGUAGGCCUAGCUUAGAUAUUCAUGUUAGAAGAAAAACAAACACAUGUUUUUCAUAUUUAAAAUCAUUCUUUAAAUGGCAAUGCACUGGGGCAGCUGGGUGGCUCAGGUGGUUAAGCAUCUCAGGGUCAUGAGUUUAAGCCCCAUGUUGGACUUCAUGCUGCAUGGAGCCUACUUAAAAAAAAAUUAAUUAAUUAAAAAAUAUAAUAAAACAAGGGCAUUGAACAUGUAAGUGGUUGUUCUGGCACCUAGGAACUAUCUCCAAUGCAUCAAGUGCUUGAAACAUAUUGGCUUAAUGCAUCCAUUUUGAAACACCUAGGCUCAUUUCAAUACUAUAAAACCUUCCAAAAUUUGAAUAAUAAAAAAAUUAUACACCUACCUUUCUGAAAUAUUUCCUAGUGUCUAUGAAUAUGCUCAAACCUAUACUCCCUCAGCCCUUUAUACAUACCUGCACUGUAGCAAUUGGCACAUUUUAUUUUUUUAUUUUUUUUUUAAGAUUUUAUUUAUUCAUGAGAGACACAGAGACAGAGAGAGGCAGAGACACAGGCAGAUGGAGAAGUACGCUCCUCCACAUCAGCAGGUAGCCUGAUGUGGGACUCGAUCCCGGGACCUCAGGAUAAAGCCCUGGGCCAAAGGCAGGGCGUGAUCCUGGAGACCCAGGAUCGAAUCCCACGUCGGGCUCCCGGUGCAUGGAGCCUGCAUCUCCCUCUGCCUGUGUCUCUGCCUCUCUCUCUCUCUCUGUGACUAUCAUAAAUAAAUAAAGAAAAAAUAUUAAAAAAAAAAAAGUAUGGAUAGAAGUUAGCCAGGAAGGGCAGUGGGGAAGAGUAUUUUAGAUAGAGAGAACACCAUGUAACAAGAUCUGGUGUCUCCAUGUUCGUGACACAGAGUCUUCUUUAAGAUUUGGUAAUGAGAAAUUCAAAUUCCCAGAAAUUCUUGGAAAUUCCCAAGUCAUAAGUAUAUUUUUAACAUAAUAGUAAAUGACCACAGCACUAAGCAGUGAACAACAAAGAGUAAAUCAUUUUCAGUGGUAGAGUUGCAACUAGAAGCUUCAAAGGCAUUCUGUAACUUCAUUCGCACAAAGUGGAACAAUCUUGGAAGCUCUAUAUAAAUAGGGCUUAAUGAAUUUUUCAAAGAAUGCCCUUAAGACAUUAGGUAUUCCUGUUGAGAAACAAAACCAAAGAGAAUAAAAGAGAGACCUGCCAAAGAAAUCAUUACUACAACUAUCAUUAGAACUUAGGUUUCAGUGGCUCCUAUUUGUGAACUCACUCUCCACUUCUCUCUUUAAGUAACUAAGAUCCACAAGUGGCUCAGCGCUUCUGCCACUGAGGUAAAAUGAUCAAAAUGCCCAAAGAGCAUGAGAUGAAAACUACCUGAAAUCUAUGUUUUUAUUUCCAUAGGUUUAGAACUUGAAAUCAUAAAAUAGUUUACCAACUGCUGAAGAAGGAUUUCCCAGGAAGCUGCAGACAAUGUUAGUGCUUAGAAGGACACUAAAUGGCUAUCCUAGUCAUUCAUCCACUUAGACACUAUCCCAGAGAAAGAGAAAUAUGCCCUACUUCCAGAUUCUUUUAUACAGAUUCAACAAUCUCUCCUGGGAAAUAAUUCCAACAGUUAAAUGGCCUUUGUUGCAAAGAAAUGUGGUAUUUAGAUAAGGUAAUAUAUUUCUCACUAAAAUUGUAGUCUCAUCCAUUCCACCUAUUUGGGCAAAGCAGCUUUACUCUGGAUGAAUGAGCUCAGGUCUUAGCACAUUUUAAUGCUCGCCUAGCAAAGCCACCAGAAGACACAUUAGUCCUGACCACACAGUGCUAGGGAGGAGGGCCUUCCCUGACAGCCACUAGCUUGGAGAUUGCAGGUAAUGCAAGCCAAAUGGAAAUGGAAAUGCCAGCAAACAUUUCUGAAACUUCAAAAGGAGAGAAUCAGUAACAUUACCCUGUUUCUUCCCCUUAUCCUGGAAGUUCUUAGUGGUGUUAGGAGAAGAGUGGGAGAAAAAUCAGGUAAUAAGGUAAAUCAUCUAAAGUAAUUUGUAUGAGUAUGCGUACAUGUGUACAUGUGUGCAUGUGCUUUUGCAAAUUUGCAUGUUUAUGCGUUCGUAUAUGUGUGUAUUCACAUCUGUUCGCAAGCACACUUGCAUGCAUCAUGUAUUUGAGUAAUUGUGUAUCUGCAUAUAUGUAUAUGUGCUUGUGUGCAUAUAUAUGUAUAUGUACACAUGGUUGUAUGUGUAGUUGAGUGUAUAUGUGUGUGUUUGUGUGUGUGCAUAUGUAUGGAUAUGUAUGUGCAGCAAAGAAGCUGAAGAUUGAGGAUCUGAAAACAGCAGUAAUGACCAAACUAACAGAGGGGAAAACAGAAUGACACAGGCUUAUAGACUCCAAACCCAAGAAAAAAAAGGUGGUAAAAUUUGGAAGGAUAUUUGGGGAAAACUAUGCAAAGACUAUUUCUCUAGAGUCAAGAGCUAUUGCUCACUUCCCUUUAACAAAGCAAGAUAGCCUUCAGCCUUCAUAACUAUCAAUGCCCCUGCCUUGGCCCAUGAGGACCCUGCCUGCUUAGACCUUCUAGUUCCCUGAAUAGGCUGGGAUGGAUCUGAGCUGGAAGGAACUCAAUGUCAGGUCAAGAACUCAAAGAACUUAAAAAAAAAAAAAAAAAAAAAAAAA
rnacentral:lncRNA from 1 species